AGCUCCAAUAGCGUAUAUUAAAGUUGUUGUGGUUAAAAAGCUCGUAGUUGGAUUUCGGCGGGUAUUGGUUGGUUUGAAUUGCUUCAACACUGACUUUUUUACCCGUGUGUUUUGCCAGAAUUUAGCGGGUGAUCUUCGCCGAUUGUCCGUUGGAACUGGUAGGUUUACUUUGAAAAAAUUAGAGUGCUCAAAGCAAGCUUACUGCUUGAAUAGUUGCGCAUGGAAUAAUAGAAUAGGAAGUCGUUUCUAUUUUGUUGGUUUUCGGAAAUCGACUUAAUGAUUAAUAGGGAUAGUCGGGGGCAUUCGUAUUCAAACGACAGAGGUGAAAUUCUUGGACCGUUUGAAGACGAACUAAGGCGAAAGCAUUUGCCAAGAAUGUUUUCAUUA
rnacentral:rRNA from 1 species